rnacentral:rRNA from 1 species
GAGGGCAGUUGCCGGGCAGCUACGCGACACGGGGUAAGAGCUGAACGCAUCUAAGCUCGAAACCCACAUGAAAAAGAGAUACCAUAGAGGUCACUCGUAGAAGACGAGUUCGAUAGACUUGGGGUGUACGCGCCGAGGCAACGAGGCGUUUAGCCCGCAAGCACUAACAGACCAAGCC